rnacentral:misc_RNA from 1 species
GUCGUAACAAGGUUUCCGUAGGUGAACCUGCGGAAGGAUCAUUACCACACCGAUCCAAGAUCUUUUUCACAGUGAAGCGCAGUUCCCUGGAAGCUGGUGGGAACACUGUUGGCCUGCUUUUCAGUCUGGCCGGCCGUCUCCUGCUGGUGGGACUGCACCAUAAAGUGCUGUUGGGCUCCUCGGGGCUUGGCAGCGCGACCCGUCACUUUACGACGUUCACCAGUCUUGACCAAACCAACUGAACCAAAAGGGCGAGUCAGGAUGUGUACCUAGUGUAUGCGGUCCCGACAGCCUAACAAAGUAAAAUACCUUACAACUUUCAGCGAUGGAUGUCUAGGUUCCCA